UUGGACUUCUGUUCAGUAAUGGGCAGCCACAAAUGAAGGCAGUUCUCUUCUGGACAGUAUGACUAAAGCAAUUGAUGAGGUUAUCAAAAUCAAAGAGUGUGACAUCUACAGCUAUAAUCCAGACUCUGACGCAGAUCCAGUUCUUGAGAAAGGGGCCAUAUGGUCGUUCAACUACUACUUCUACAAUAGGAAGCUAAAUCGAGUCGUGAGCUUUCGAUGUUACUGCUAGGUAG